CAGUCGCCGCGGGAACACGAGGGGGGGCAAGCGUUGUUCGGAAUUAUUGGGCGUAAAGGGUGCGUAGGCGGUUUGGCAAGUCUUGUGUGAAAUCUUCGGGCUCAACCCGAAGCCUGCACGAGAAACUACCGGGCUUGAGUAUUGGAGAGGUGAGUGGAAUUUCCGGUGUAGCGGUGAAAUGCGUAGAUAUUGGGAAGAACACCAGUGGCGAAGGCGGCUUUCUGGACGGCAACUGACACUGAGGCUCGAAAGCCAGGGGAGCGAACGGGAUUAGAUACCCCUGUAGUCCCUGUCUCUUAUA
rnacentral:rRNA from 1 species